UGUCUACUAUCAGAGACACUGA
rnacentral:miRNA from 1 species